GUAAGAGCUGGUGGCAAGAGCUGGUGGCUAUGGGUCUCUUAGGGUAUUGCAAAGGUGCGAGAGGGGGGGGUACCUAAUCUGUAUUUGUUGGAUAUGUUUUCCACCUGCUGUAGUAUGGCUCCCUUGCACCCUUUUUGAAAUUCUCCACUGUGGCAUUCGUAUAAUGGUUUGGGUUGGAAAGGACCUUUAAAAUUAAAUAGUUUCAGCCCCCUGCUGUAGGCAGGGACACCUCCCUCUAGACCAGGUUGCUCAGAGCUCCAUCCAGCCUGACCUUGAAUGCUUCCAGGGAGGGGACAUCCACAACCUCACUGGGCAGCCUGUUCCAGCAUCUCACCACCCUCACAGGGCUCUUUGUCACUGUGGUUUGCUUUUGUAUGGUAUCAUUCUCAUCUGUCAAAGUCUCGCUGCAAUUCUGGAGAUUCUUUUUGUCAGUUUUGUCUUCAAACUUGCUUGAGGAGAGGACUGAAUGGGAGGUUGUGCUCCCUGCAUAGUACCAGGUAAAAGAUUUGUCUCUGAUACUUUGCACUGGCUUGUAUGCACAUAGCCACUGGCCCUUGCAGCCAGCAGAGUUUUUGUCUUCUGUUG
rnacentral:lncRNA from 1 species